AACAUCAAGUCCCCAGUUGUUUAAAAAGUAAUAAAAUAAUAAACAAAGUCUCAUUUAAAGUCUCAUAAUUUAUUACACAGAUGUAAAGAUUGUAAAAUUAGAAUUUAUAAUACCAUUAAUGUAUAUAAAGUAACAUUGAAACAGAAAAAAAUAUAUAUCUAAUAGUAAUACUAUAACAUUUUAUACAUACAAAGUUUUUUUAUAAGACAUGUUUUUAAGGAUGUACUUAGGUCAGAAUUUUUAUCAGAUGUUGAGAGUCCUUGCUUUUUUCCUACAAAACAGUGUAAAGAUUUUGCCCCAUAACACCCAUUUUAAUAAAUAUAAGACUUCAAUAGCCCAUAAAAGUUUUUUUACCAAAAUUUAAGCAGAUUCUAGAUUUUUCUUCAGAUGGAAACCCAAAUAUUACCAAUGAAAAUAUAUUGGAAUAAGUCUUAAGUUAGCCUUUUCACGCUAUUCAAAAAAAAAAUAUCCCAAAUAGGAGCUCCAUAAAUAACGCUCUUUUGACUUAUAAUAUCAACUUUAAAUUCAUCUUUUUUUUCUUUUCACCCAAGUACAUCCUUAAGAACAGAGACACAAAUCUUGAAUAUGUAAAGUAUUAUCUUUUCUUAACUUUCACAGGUUCUUUCUAGCAAAAGGGUUAUUUAACCAAAAUUUUAGCCAAAAAUUUACACAUGUUCUUUCACUCUAGAACAAAGUAAAAAAAAAAAGACUAUUUUAUUGAAUUUGCCAUUUCAUGUACAUGUAUUAAAAGCAGUAAAAAUAAUACUUUAAUGUUCAAAUCACACACAAUACAUUGGCACAAGAAUAAAUUAAAAAUAAGAAAUCUUUCUAAAGUAGUCUUUAGUAUAUUAGCUUGAGCAAACAAUCUAAAACCUCAAACAAAUUAUGACUAUAACAGAAUAAGAGAAUGGAAGCAGUGAAUGUGUCAAGGAGACAACAACCCCACUAAAAAAACAGAAAACAUCCCUUUGGUAUACAUCCGAUGAUGCAGACAUAAUCAAAUUCAUGAUUAAAACUUAGAGUGCAGAAUGGUAGUUAAAUUCUAAAAAUUAUUGUGAAAUUCUCUACCAAAAUACUGGACCUAUACUGUCAUAGAUAAACUUUCAAAUGGAACUCAAGAAAUGUAACUCCUGUUACCUGUUACAUUUACUCAUAACUGAUAUAAAGUGCAAAAUUUGGAAUAAAAAAAAAAAAAAAAAAUCCUAUGAUUACUGGUAUUCUUCCUAUUGAAGACCAUACUGGAAAAUUCAGAUUUUUCAUUUCAGAAUCCCUGCAUUUUCGAGGAUAUUUUAUUUUUAUGGUUUUGUCAAAGUCUGCAUACGAGCCUAUAUUAAAAAAAAUUAGUGGUGCACCUGUAUCCACGAAACCCAUGAAUAUUGGUAUCCAACGAAAAUAAUAAUGAAUCCACAGUAUGCAGAAUUUGUCAAAAACACCAAAUCAAAUAUAAAAGAAGAGUGUACAUGAUGGAAUGUAUUACCUGAUUUACUUUAGAAUGAUUUAUGUUAAAAUUUUGUAAAAUGGAGGUUUUAAUACAAGUAUCACACAAACUAACAUAAUAAAUGAUCCAUGACAAUGAAGUCACAGUCAGAUGAAAGGAACUAAAUCAGACUCUUUUAAAAAUUACCUCCCUUUGCCUGCAACAACACUAUACAUAUGAGUAAAAUUAACAAGUUAUUUGCCUUAAAGCUAUGUACAAUGAAAACUACAAAAUUCAUACCUUUUUGGUUUACACUAUAAAGCUUAGUUCGGCAUAGAAAUUUAUUCAACAGUAGACAAGACAGAUAUACAUACAAAGUAAACAAACUAUAAAAUAUAAAAUUACUUAGGAUUUACUGCAGCCAAGUAAACAUAAUAUAGCCAUAUAAAUCACAGAUAUGCUUAUUUAUAACAAAUAGCCCUUAAAAAGAUAAAAGAUACCAAACGGACAACCAAUAAUCAUUAGUCGAUUUAAGAAGUCAUUAUCUUGGUAAAAAAAAAGAAAAAUAUAAUGAGGCACAAGAUGUCAUUUGAACAACCACAUCAGCCAUACAUUUUUCAUUUUUUUAUUUCUUCAAACCCAUCUCAACCCCAUAAAAGAUUUUCUAGAAACAUAUAUACACAAUAGUGGUGUUUGAUUUUUAAAUUCUGUUUUUCACAUCUGAGGCAAGGCUACUCACUAAAUUUCAUUCAAAAUAAAAAUAAAACAUAUUUCCUUUAACCCUCCCUCUUAAAAUGAUACCAUGAAUUCAAACAAAUUUAUUUCCAUAUAAAUGCUGUAUUGGGAAUUCCAAUAAUUUAUCAUAUGAACCUUUUACUACACUUAUCAAAUCAACCGGUAAUUAUUUCUACAAAAAUAUUAAAAACAAAAAUUAACAGAACACUAAUACACUGCAAUCUAAUUUAAAUUAAAUCUCCACACUCGCUCAUUUUUUUAUUCUUGGUUGCUUAGUGAGAGCAACCAAGCAUAAAAAAAUGAGCCAGUGCAGAGAUUUAAUUUUAAUUAGAUUGAAUACACUGUGAAAUAUGAUAGAAGCACUCCUAUUAUGGUAGAACACUACUGGCUACUUUAAUUAUAUGGCUGAAAGCAUAACAUUUACAGCAGCAUUAAAAGCGUCAAAUAUACAAAGUAUUUUGAUUAAAAUCAUUGACUAGAGAAGUGAAAAAGAAUUGCUUUAAAAAACAUAUAUAUUAAGUUUUGAAAUACCCAUAACCCUAUAGACUUUGUUAAUAGAAAAUGUAUGCACAUUAGUAAUAAGAAUACAUGUACAUACAAAUGAAAAUAUAUUUUUAUGUAGACAUCAUAUCAAAGGUUUAUUAAAUCUGAUAAAAAUGUUGUAUGACAUCAGAGGAGUGAAAUAAAUGAGUUUAUUUCACAGGUGAAAUUAUCAGUUUUAAUUUCACUGGGAAUCACGGUAAUUCAUUGCAACCAAAUGUAAUAUUAAAAGUUGACUAACGGGUACUUGCACAUAUCAUAUAUGAGAACAGGUUAUAUAUCAUUUGAAGAUAACAGCAAGAUCUCAAAAAUUAGAAAUCGCAAAAAUAUAUACAUUAACAAGUUAUCAUGUCAAUAAAAUAACUCAGUUCUAUAAAAAAAAGUGUGGUUUCUGAGUCCAGGUAUUUCUUUUUAUAAUUUUUAAAUUUUCUUUAUUUCCUCCAUAUUUUGGAACCUUCAAUUUUUUGUUCCAGUGUUAAGACAUUUGGCACAAACCUUUUACUGAUAUCAUUUCACUCCCAAAUCAUUCAAUAUGAUUACUUGAAAUAAAAGGGGAAAUAUUUGAGAAACUAUCUAUACAAAUUAUCAAAAAGAAAUUUUUUAAUUAAACUUAUGCAGGCUUAAACUACGAAAAAUUUGACCGAUUAGCCAAGUGAACACAGAUCAAAGAUAUUUAAAAUGAAUAUUUAUAUACAGAUGCUGCACAUUUCAUAAAAAAAUACUAAAUAUUUACAUCUUAUAUAAGGGAGACAAAUCUUGAAAUGUUAGACAAAAAAAUAUGCAAUUACUGAAAAAUAUGUAUCAGAACUAAUAAUUAAUCCAAACAAAACCAGAUGCUCCACAAGGUGCAGCUUUAUACGACCGUUGAGGCAAGUAUGAACACAACAUUAAUUUUGGACCCUUUAGACCUCAAUAUGGACCAAUUUGAUAACAGGGCCCAAAUAUGAAAAAUCUAAAUACAUAUUGUUAGAUUUAGCAUACCAAAAAAAACUUAUAUAUUCAAUUUUUGUUGAAAUCAAACCAAGUUUAAUUUUGGACCCUGAUUUGGACCAACUUGAAAACUGGGCCCAUAAUAAAAAUCUAAGUACAUGUUCAGAUUCAGCAUAUCAAAGAACCCCAAGAAUUCAAUUUUUGUUAAAAUCAAACUAAGUUUAAUUUUGGACCCUUUGGACCUUAAUGUAGACCAAUUUGAAAACAGGACCAAAAAUUAAGAAUCUAAAUUCAUGGUAAGAUUCUGCAUAUCAGAAAAACCCCAAUAAUUCAAUUUUUGAUGAAAUCAAACAAAGUUUAAUUUUGGACCCUUUUGGUCCCCAAUUCAUAAACUGUUGGGAUCAAAACCCCCAAAAUCAAUCCCAACCUGCCUUUAUUGGUUAUAAACCUUGUGUUAAAAUUUUACUGAUUUUUAUUUGCUUAUACUAAAGUUAUUAUCUGGAAAUCAUCCGUCUUCGGACGAUGCUGACAACGCAAAAGACAAUGACGUGAUACCAAUAUACGACCAAAUUUUUUUAAAUUUUUGCGGUCGUUUAAAAACUGGACAUCAUAUCUCAACAUCUAAAUUAAC
rnacentral:lncRNA from 1 species